AAAAAUACCUGGCAGGGAAGAUACCAUGAUCACGAAGGUGGUUUUCUCAGGACGAGGCUUAUCCAUUGAACUCUGUAUGUGUUGAUCCCUGUGAGUUCCCCAAAUGUGGGAAACUCGGCAGCAUAAUUUGUGGUAGUGGGGUACUGCCUUUGCACUUUCCCCUG
rnacentral:snRNA from 1 species